UGGGGAAUCUUGCACAAUGGGGGAAACCCUGAUGCAGCGACGCCGCGUGAGCGAUGAAGGUUUUCGAAUCGUAAAGCUCUGUCCUAUGGGAAGAUAAUGACGGUACCAUAGGAGGAAGCCCCGGCUAACUACGUGCCAGCAGCCGCGGUAAUACGUAGGGGGCGAGCGUUGUCCGGAAUUUCUGGGCGUAAAGGGUUCGCAGGCGGCAUGACAAGUCCGAUGUAAAAGGCGAAAGCUCAACUUUCGUAAGCAUCGGAAACUGUCAAGCUUGAGUGAAGGAGAGGCAAGUGGAAUUCCUAGUGUAGCGGUGGAAUGCGUAGAUAUUAGGAGGAAUACCGGUGGCGAAGGCGACUUGCUGGACUUCAACUGACGCUGAGGAACGAAAGCGUGGGUAGCAAACAGG
rnacentral:rRNA from 1 species